rnacentral:lncRNA from 1 species
CUUCAUGUUACCAGUGUUAGAGGUGAAACCCACGCAGAGCCAUGAGAAUGACAGACAAAUGAUUUGCUGUUGCAUUGCACAGCCAUCUUAAACCCUGAUGUCAUAAAACUCAGUCUCCUGAAGAGAAAACCUGCGGGAUUCUUAGACAUAGGAAGGUCCACACAGGCUUCAACAGAGGAGUGUGGACACGAUGAAUGAUUCCUAGAGUGGUACAUUGUGGGUGAGUGACACUUCCCUACAAGGCUGAGCUGAGACUUUUGAAGACCUUUCAAGGCAUUAUCCCUUCCAGGAUAUCUACAGGGAAACAUUACUGAGAACUGACGUCAAAUACAUCAAUCCAUUUGAUGCUCAAUUGCAAGCAUGGUGCAAGUACUACUCUAAAUAAUACAAGCAGAACUCCACUAAUACAUAGUCUAGCUGCCUCUACUUUAAAAAAAAAAAAGGGAUGUAGUAUAGUUUCUCAGUGAUGCCUUAUGGAGCCCUAGUUUUAAAACCCUUCAAAGCAAUAGCUGUAUGAAAAGUACUAGAUGUGGCGGUAGCACUUGAGACAGAGAACAGCCAUCAGGAAAGACAUAGACCCACCUCUGACCAUGGCUGAUGGGUGAAUUCCUUGAGAGGGCUUCUUAGUAGUGUUACAAUAUAUUCACCAAGCUGGCGAGAGAAGAAUGAAAGGGAAGAGGUGAGUCUUUUAGGAGUAGAGGUGUUCAUGUUUCAUUCCAUACCAUAAUUGAUUUUUAAUUGCUAGUUCAGCAAUGAGUUUCAGUUUUUAUCUUACAGGAUCUUGCUAAGACCAGUGGCAGACACCAUUUUUGACAAUAUUUUCUCAUAGUUUGGUAUGCAGCGAGAAUGCUCCUUUGAUAAAUUGCUUAUGAAGUCUUGUGCAAACAUGGAGCACUUGAGAUAGAGAACAGCCAUCAGGAAAGACAUAGACCCACCUCUGACCAUGGCUGAUGGGUGAAUCCCUUGAGAGGGCUUCUUAGUAGUGUUACAAUACAUUCACCAAGCUGGCGAGAGAAGAAUGAAAGGAAAGAGAAAUGGAUAAAACAAUCAUAAAUUCAUUCACAGAGGAGCAUAAAGGACCCCAAGUAGACAAAACAACCCCAAGUAAAAAGAAUAAUACUGACAGUAUCAGCAUUGCUUCCUUCAAGCUAUACAACAGAGCCAUGGUGAGGAAAACAGCAUGGUACUGACACAAGGCAGACAUGUAAACCCACGGAAGAGAACAGGAGACCCAGACACAAAACAAUGAAGCCACAUCACUUCAUUUCGACGACGGUGUAAAAUACUCACGGUGGUGGGGCAGUCUUUUUGAACAAAAAAAAAAUACUGGGGAAAGUCACAUGCAGGAGAAUCAAAUUAUUGUCAAAAAAUUCUCACUCACCUCACUCAAAACCCAGUGCCAAGUGGUUCAAAGUCAUUAACGUAAGACUCAAAAACUCUGAAACCAGUGGAAGGAAAGUAGAGAAGACACUGAAAAACACAGGUGUAGGUGAGCGCCUUCUGCAUAGGACUCAAAUGCUCAGGAACUAAGAUCAGUCAUGAAGAACAAGGCCUCAAAAAAUGUUCCUGAGGUGUAGAAUGUGGCUAUGCUGUAGAGCCAAGGUCUUCAGUUCAACACCCACCCCACCCCACCCCACACACACACCACACCCUUACAGCAAAUGAGACAGUUAAGUAAGUAAAGCGCCAAAGAGAUAGCCUGCGGAGUAGAACAUCUUUGCCUGCUUUAUCCCUGACAAAGGACUGAUAUCCAGAAUGUAUGAAGAACUCAAAACUCUUAACAAAUGAUCUAACUGCAGAUUGGGCUGAGGAGCUAAACAGACUUUCUCACACGUACAAAUGGCUGUAUAAUUAACUAAUAAUGUUAUUUUUAUUGCUGCUGUUGUAUGUGUUCAACAUCCUUAGUCAUCAGGGAAAUCCAAACGAAAACCACAUUGAGUUCAAGAUGGCUAUCAACAAAGAAGCACAAACUACACAGUGCUGGCGAGGGCACGGGGAAGGAGGGACACUUACUGAUAUCCUGAGGCUAGUCUGCAGAGAAUAUGUUUGUUUGUUAAGUUCUUCCCUAGGUUGGGCAUUGGUCUGUCUUCAGAUGUGAACAAUUGAGAUGCACGUUGGUGUCAAAUCACUGAGGGUUUAUAAUUUGAGAAGGCAAAAGGGACUCUGUGUGUAUUUAUUUCAAAGACCUGAAAGCCUUUCCCACAAAGUUGUAUGCAUACCUAAACUUACUGCUAAUGACCACUGUUUACACCAUUCUAAUAACAAGGAAAAACAAAACCAGAGCUAAGUCUUUGGAGUUCAAGGACAAAAUGUGUGUGUGUGUGUGUGUGUGUGUGUGUGCGUGCAUGCAUGUGUGUAUUGGAGGGUGAAGACAAACGAAUCAAAAUCAGCAUUUUUGCAAUCUAUUCCACCUGGCCACCUUAAUAACAUGUCAAUUAAAUGAUCUACAUGCACUAAAAACUCCUUGGUAUACUAUAGAGAAUGUACAUGGCAAAACACUAAAAAGCAUCCGGGAUUCAAACUGAUUAUGAGGAAACAUUGUCUAAAAACCUGGAAGUAUCCACUCUAUAACCCAGCAGGACCCUGGGUUGUUGUCCAGAGGGCCAUGUCAUCAAAGGAAGAGACUACAUGGUUUCCUAUAAACGGUAAGCUGAGCAGAGCUGUUGUCCUUUGCUUGUGAGGAAAUGACUGUCAACCCCUCAGUGCCUAAAUGCCUAAAACCUGUUUUAUACCAUUCAUGUGACAAUCUCCUUUCCUCCCCCCAUCCAGCCCUGCUCUUUAUGCAAAAUGCUUGUUAGGUCAAGUUUGAAUAAUCAUCAAUUUUAUACCAUAGAAGCCUGAAAGAUACAGUCCAUUUUCUCACACACACACACACACACACACACACACACACACACACACACACACACACACACAUUCUUCAAAUGCUCUCUGUGUGUACAGACAUCAAAUGUCUCAACUUGAACUAGUCUGCUUUGCAGCUGUAUUUGAGUGAACACCUGCAACCCAUGGGUUAUCUGAACAGUGUUCCGGGUUCUAUCACUUACGGAAAAGGUAAAACUGUUUCACCAUCUUUUUGACAAUGUUGCAAUGAACUCUUCCCUCAAGUACUAAAAGCCUGCCUGGCCUUAGCCAAAGUAAACGCCUAGCCAGUCUCAGUGAGUAGUUCGCCUCCCUUUUCUAAAGCUGUUAGCGUGAAUAAAUUAAUGAGGUCAUCACUUACCCUCAGAGGACUGACUUCUGAAAAAAAGAAUAUGUGAGACUUGAAAAGGUAAAUCUUUUUAUCGUUCCAGAGAAAUACAAAUAUCUUCCUCUGCUCACGGUGUAAUCAGCUUUUCUCGGUAUUACAUCAUGAGCAACGAUGCAGGUCAUUAGUUCAGUGCCUGGAUAUGAUCAUUUGUUAGAUGAACUACCAUGUCAGGGUUUUGAACUGCAGCAAUCAGUCAGAAGUUUCUCUUUUCCCUUGAUUUAUGUUUUUGAGUAUGUUAAUGAAUGUUUUAUAGAUUUUAAUAUAUAUUUAUAUAUUUGAUUUAUGUAUAAAAGUUGAUUUAUGUAUCAAAUAUAUAUAUAUAUAUGUAUAUAUAUAUAAAACAAUUAAAUAAAUGUUGCAUCUUGACUGUUAACAAUACUAUGCCAUACUUACUUGAAUAUCAAAAAUCUAAAUGUUUAUGUAAACCAUUCUCUUUAUUAGUCAAGUAAUAAAAAAUGUAAAUUACUGGUUUACUGGU